UGGGUUUAAGGGUCCGUAGGCGGACUCGUAAGUCAGUGGUGAAAUCUCAUAGCUUAACUAUGAAACUGCCAUUGAUACUGCGGGUCUUGAGUAAAGUAAAAGUGGCUGGAAUAAGUAGUGUAGCGGUGAAAUGCAUAGAUAUUACUUAGAACACCAAUUGCGAAGGCAGGUCACUAUGUUUUAACUGACGCUGAUGGACGAAAGCGUGGGGAGCGAACAGGAUUAGAUACCCUGGUAGUCCACGCCGUAAACGAUGCUAACUCGUUUUUGGGUUUUCGGAUUCAGAGACUAAGCGAAAGUGAUAAGUUAGCCACCUGGGGAGUACGUUCGCAAGAAUGAAACUCAAAGGAAUUGACGGGGGCCCGCACAAGCGGUGGAUUAUGUGGUUUAAUUCGAUGAUACGCGAGGAACCUUACCAAGGCUUAAAUGGGAAUUGACAGGUUUAGAAAUAGACUUUCCUU
rnacentral:rRNA from 1 species